rnacentral:rRNA from 1 species
UACAGAGGUCCCGAGCGUUGUUCGGAUUCACUGGGCGUAAAGCGCACGUAGGCGGCUUUGUAAGUUAGAGGUGAAAGCCCAGGGCUUAACCCUGGAAUUGCCUUUAAGACUGCAUCGCUCGAAUUGUGGAGAGGUGAGUGGAAUUCCGAGUGUAGAGGUGAAAUUCGUAGAUAUUCGGAAGAACACCAGUGGCGAAGGCGACUCACUGGACACAUAUUGACGCUGAGGUGCGAAAGCGUGGGGAGCAAACAGG